ensembl:snoRNA SNORD34 Small nucleolar RNA SNORD34
CGGUGUCUGUGAUGUCGCUUUUACCUACAUUGUUUGACUCCUGCUGAGAAAAACAAAACAAACCUGAGACACCA